rnacentral:rRNA from 1 species
GUAGGUGGGCAAGCGUUGUCCGGAAUUAUUGGGCGUAAGGCGCGCGCAGGGCGGUCCUUUAAGUCUGAUGUGAAAGCCCACGGCUCAACCGUGGAGGGUCAUUGGAAACUGGGGGACUUGAGUACAGAAGAGGAAAGCGGAAUUCCAAGUGUAGCGGUGAAAUGCGUAGAGAUUUGGAGGAACACCAGUGGCGAAGGCGGCUUUCUGGUCUGUAACUGACGCUGAGGCGCGAAAGCGUGGGGAGCAAACAGGAUUAGAUACCCUGGUAGUCCACGCCGUAAACGAUGAGUGCUAAGUGUUAGGGGGUUUCCGCCCCUUAGUGCUGCAGCUAACGCAUUAAGCACUCCGCCUGGGGAGUACGGCCGCAAGGCUG